AGGCAGCAGUGAGGAAUAUUGCGCAAUGGGGGAAACCCUGACGCAGCGACGCCGCGUGAGUGAGGAAGGUUUUCGGAUCGUAAAGCUCUGUCAGAAGGGAAGAAGUGUUAUAUGGUUAACACCCAUAUAAUUUGACGGUACCUUCAGAGGAAGCACCGGCUAACUCCGUGCCAGCAGCCGCGGUAAUACGGAGGGUGCAAGCGUUGUUCGGAAUUACUGGGCGUAAAGGGCGCGUAGGCGGCUGGAUAAGUCAGAUGUGAAAGUCCAUGGCUCAACUGUGGAAGUGCAUUUGAAACUGUCCGGCUUGAGUAUCGGAGGGGAGUGUGGAAUUCCCGGUGUAGAGGUGAAAUUCGUAGAGAUCGGGAGGAACACCGGUGGCGAAGGCGACACUCUGGACGAAUACUGACGCUGAAGCGCGAAAGCGUGGGGAGCAAACAGGAUUAGAUACCCUGCUAGUCCACGCCGUAAACUAUGUGAUCUAGGGGUAUGGGGUGUUAAUCCCUCCUGUCACGUAGCUAUCCCAUUAGGUUCGCCCCCUGGGCAAGAUCGUUGCCCUCAUUAGAUACUCACCCGAUU
rnacentral:rRNA from 1 species